CGUUGAUAGGUCAGGUGUGUAAGUGCUGCGAGGCAUUGAGCUAACUGAUACUAAUUGCCCGUGAGGCUUAACCAUACAACACCCAAGGGGUUU
rnacentral:rRNA from 2 species